rnacentral:rRNA from 1 species
AUACGGAGGAUGCGAGCGUUAUCCGGAUUUAUUGGGUUUAAAGGGUGCGUAGGCUGUGCGUUAAGUCAGGGGUGAAAUGCCGUCGCUCAACGACGGAGCUGCCCUUGAUACUGGCGUGCUGGAGUACGGAUGCCGUUGGAGGAAUGAGUGGUGUAGCGGUGAAAUGCUUAGAUAUCACUCAGAACACCGAUUGCGAAGGCAUCUGACGAAUCCGUCACUGACGCGGAGGCACGAAAGCGUGGGGAUAGAACAGGAUUAGAUACCCUGGUAUUCCACGCCGUAAACGAUGAUGACUAACCGUCGGCGAUAGACAGCCGGUGGCCAAGCGAAAGCGAUAAGUCAUCCACCUGGGGAGUACGUCGGCAACGAUGAAACUCAAAGGAAUUGACGGGG